rnacentral:lncRNA from 1 species
CUAGGGGGUGUUGCAAUGUGAAUAGAAAGAAGCAAAUAAGAAAGACCAGCAAGGUGCAAAUAAGAAAGACCAGCAAGGUCAAAACGGGCUGGGCUGGGGACUGGACACUGGAUCUUUCAAAAAUUCCCCAAGUGGUUUUGUUCCAGGAAAGGGGUCCCUAUCCAGACCCCAAGAGAGGGUUUUUGAUUUUGUGCAAGAAAGAAUUCAGGACCAUUUUACAGUGCAAAGCAAAAGCAAGUUUCUUAAGAAAGUAGAGGAAUAUUUGGGAGGCCGAAGCGGGUGGAUCACGAGGUCAGGAGUUUGAGACCAGUCUGGUCAACAUAGCGAAACCCCAUUCUCUACUAAAAAUACAAAAAAUUAGCCAGAUGUGGUGGUGUGCACCUGUAAUCUCAGCUACUCAGGAGGCU